GCGCUCAGCCCCGCGCCGUAGCAAAGUCGCGGCGGAACGGCGUGCGCUGCUCCCUUCGGACGAGCAGUCUUUAUUUUGUAAUCCCACAUCCCGUGGGUUGUGAUAAUCCGAGAGCCCAAUCUCCUCCUCCUGUUUUGCACUUGGAGCGAUGUGCCCUGGGACACAUGGAACGAUGUGCAAAUCGCUCAUGGAAAAAGAGGGGAUGGAUGAAGUCAGGCUGUGAAGGACCGCAUCCAGCAGCAGACCUCCCCUGGCAGAGGCUCUCUUGCUCCCUUGGCUGGGACGAAGUGCUGUGGCUGCAGGCAUAUGGGGCACACUGAGACAAACCGAGCAGCUUUUUGAGAAUGUCCUGAGACCCUUGGCAAUGGAGAGAGAUUGCAGUGCAAGCACUUUUCUGGAUUACUCUGUCACCGAUGUCAAAUCAAAGCAUCAAGGAUAUAAAUCUUCAGUAAACAUCUGGCCUCACUUCAGCCAGGUUAUGCAAUGCCUCAAGUACAUUCAGCAGCAGAUUAUGCUGCGUUCUCCAUUUGUGCAAUGCAAGCUAAUGUGAAUAUCAAGUCACAUCAGUGGUCUAGACAAGUAGUUGGGAGAUAAAGACAGCAACCCAAAGCGGGAAGUUUGGCCUCUCAGCUCCAACUUAAAGGUCCCCAUGUUCCAUCAAGGUGUUGUCUCGUGACAGCUUUGUUGGUAUUCUCAGCACUGCUUGGGCACGGUGGCUGAUCUUUCAUCAGAAACUGUAAAGGAAGGAAGUGGGCACGUCAAGGGAAAACUGACAUGUCACUGAAGACCCAGAAAGAAAGAAUGCCAGAGAAGAGGUAAAUCAUAGAAAAGCCUAAGCAUCACCUCUGCUCAGAUGGAAGAAGAAAAAAAGAAAAAAAAGCCAGACCCAAACCUUGCCCACCUGGGCAUCCUGCGUGGGAUGGAAUCCAGCCCUGCACUGCCCAGCAAUGGGUCUCCUCCCUGCUUUGUGCAAAGGAAGAUUAAGCAGAAGGGAUAAGAAAAGACAGGGGAAAAAAAUGCAUUUCUUUGCAGUAAACACAGCCUGCAGCCAUCGGUUUCUCUCAGCAUUGGAUGGCAAUUAUUUCUGUGUAAUAAGCAGUCACCCGAUGACCCUCCCCUUCAGCUUGCAACGCUUCUGCUGUCAAGUGUUAAUCCCUUUGUUAGCUACUCAGCUGCACAUUCAUUUAGGAGGACUAAUGACUUACACUGUUCCUUCUCUGCACGAUUUCAGCAGACGUGUAAUUAGAGGUGAAUGGCAGCUUCAGAGGUAUGGCUACCACUGGGGCCGGGGGCAAAGUCAAAGUGUUUGUCUGAUUUCACCAUGGGCUGUUUCAGUGAGUGAAACCAUGUGGGCGGCUGCAUAUGGGGGGGAAAGGAAGUAGGAAAGGAGAAGCCAAAAAAAAGGGAAAGGAUAAGAGUCAGUUGUUGGGCAUUUAGGGAGCUCGGAUGUGAAAAGGAACGUGUUUCCAAAUAUUUCUUUGUUGGGGUGUGAGACUGAGCUGAAUGCCAGCGAGGAGCCUGUUGGCACACAGACUGAGAAGGUACCGAAAGGGUGAAAAGCUUUGUUUCAAAGUGCUGGAGAUCCGUAGUCGUUAGCAGAGUGAGUGUGAGAGCCAGAAAGUGAUUAAAAAAAAGUAUUUUGAAGGUGAGCUGAGGAAGUGCUCGCGUGCCUCCGCAGUGCCUUACAGAAUACAGCCUCUAUUUUUUUUUCUAAGUGAAAGCCAUCGAGGUCUGCAACACCUUGAGAAACAUCCUGUGGCUCUUACACCAUGGGAAGAUGUCCUUUUGAAGUGCAAGUGAAUCCCUGCGUAUGUAUUAACAUCACAGGAUGCAGUAGAAAAGUAUAACAGGGAGCUGAGGUUCUGAUGGAUUUCAGGUAACAACAACAGAAAAAAGCCACAAAGAACCCCAAACCUCUUAGCUCUGAUUUCUAUGCAUUGACAAAGCACAGCUUCGCUGAGCUGCAGCGCUGCUCCCUGUCCUUGCAGCUGUUGGGGCUGAGCCGCAUCCCAGCAGUGUGCGGUGGCCGCUGCUUUUGGUGCUGCAGCGCAGCAUCCCCGGGGCAAUGGACUUCUGCUCUGUCCCAGCAGCAGCGCAGCAUCUCGCAGCUCCCACAGCUGCAUAUUGUCCCCUGCUUUCCCUUUCUUGUUCUUUUUCUUUUUUUUUUCUUUUUGAAAGCUUACCCUGGGUUUUGCUCAGCCCUGUCUCCUCCCAGCAGUGUGCCUGCAGCCCAGGGCUCCCUCCUCUUGUCUCUUCUGGAGUGCGCUGUCUCUUUCCUUCACCCCCCCCUUGUGCAGACGCACAUCAGUGGCUGAUACAACAACUGUGUUGAAGAACAGCCACUUCCAUUCUCUUGGUUGGUUGGGAGCGCUGAAGAGGAACUCGAGCAGCCUCAGAGAUGACACACGUUGGGCUUCCAUCUCCCCAGCAAUGCAGCCGUGUCGCCACUGUUGCUGUGCAGCCGGCAGGGACAGGACAUGGUGUGGCUGACAGCCCUGGGGAUGAGGACAUCCAGUUCUGAGGGACUUGCGGUCUGCUGGUAAGCAAACACACUGUCUGGCAGUGCUCAGUGGUGUCCUUCUGAAAAACCUUGUGUGCAAUUACAUGGCUCACAGCUACACACAGGUAGAGCCGGGUGAACACCAUUUCUCAUCUAUGUAUUCCAAGAGCAUCAGUGGUGCCCAUCCUCACUGUAUGCCUCCAGCAUGGGAGGGAGAGGAUUAAUUAAAUGGACCUCAGAACGCUGCCUCUGCUUGCCACCCUUCGUAUGUCUGAACUGGAGCCCAUCAGUCAGCCUCUGUUGGUGCCGAUGGAACACCCGGGCAGCACUCGGGACAUCAGACAAACCUGUGGGAGGGGAAGACAGUUACAGUCUGAUUUUUGGAUGCUUGAGGUGAAGAAACAGGCUCUGCCCGUGCAGUCACAGAUGGGACCUUAUGAGAUAUUGGUCAUGAAGUGCCAUCAUGGAAACCUCUGCAGGAAGCUCAAGCUUCAGGAAUCCUAAGCGAUGAUCAAAGAAAAAUCACAAAUGCAGUGGACUUCAAAGCAAAGGGGCAAUGGCCCAGCCUUCACUCAGUCAGUGCGCACAAAAUGGAAGGGCCCAUUACCUGUAGAUGGGAGAGGAGCAGAGCUAAGCCGCAGGUAGGUUUGUAUUUGAUAUCAUCUACUGACAGUGACGGGUCACAGCAUUGCCACAGCUGAAGGCUGUUGAGGGCCACCACAGAGCCUCCCAGCAGCAGUUCAGAUGCUGCAUGCUAUUUAUUUGCGUGCAAUUGGAAUCCACCCUACUAGUGUGCAUCGCUGACAGAUAGGAGGAAAGGAUUCACUGCAAGCACUGAGCCAGCACCGACAAGCUGGGAGGUGAAAACUCAGGAGCUUCACUGAAGGCAGCUGAAGCCUCCACUGCUGCACAUUGUGGUGCCUGCAGAGUCACAGAGAAAUAAAUCUUGGUUAAAUUUUUGAUGAGCUUUCAGCUGCUGUAAAUAAUUAACUAGGGCCUCUCUCGUUUGAACACGGGUGCAACUUUUCAUGUUUCAAACGCUUCCUGCCUCAGUCCCAGGGGAUUGCUCAAGUAAUUCAGGUCAUUCUUUCUUUUAUUUAUUUGCAGCAUCACCGGUCCAAACAAAUUUUGAACUUUCAAGCUGGGAAGGGAGAAAGCAUUUUCUUCUUGAUUUUACUCCAGGUAAAUCCCCAAGGGAGCACGUGUCUCAUUUGCAGUAGUUGAAUAAUAGAGAUUGAUGGGUUAAUCAGUUCCCAUACCAUUUAUGGAGUAAUGCUGUGCGCUCAUAGAUGAAGUCUUCAUGUUUCUCAAGUCUGCUGUUUCAAAGAUGAGAGCACAGGACAGCUUCAUACAGACAGAUGCACUAAGGAGAGCAUCCCUGUGUGUCCCCCCCAGCUAAAGCACAUUGGGCUGAUCCCGCUUUUGACAGUGCGAGUACUGAAGUCAGUCCUGCAUCACCACCAGGUAAGCAGCACAAAAAAUGAGGUCUGAAGAACAACUGAUUUGUCCCUUCAUUAGGUGUCAAAAGGAGCUUGGAUAUUGUUUUAGGUGGAAACUCAUGCAUAGAUGAAGUGGGUGUAAACUGUAUUAAAUAUUGGAUUCAAACUCCAGAUUAGGGGUUUUGAUGUCCUAUCCCAAGACUUUAAUGUCUAAAUUGAACUACUAAAAUAGCUCCUUCCUCAGGACUCCAUCCUGUCCCGCUUAGUUCUAUACCCACACACAACAGGUCACCUACCACUACUGUGGUCUGAGGCUGAUUUGGAUUUACUGCAGUGUCAUACUUUCUGUUUCAAUGCCUAUUGAGUAUGAUUUAUUACAAUGACAGACCACGCUACUGUUUGCAAUGCAGGCCGAAUUCAUUCCCACUUUUUAAUACAGUUUCUCACAUCAUCUCCAGCAUUUGAGAGAAUGUAUAUUUAUUUUAAUCACCGUGUACUGAAUAUGUAAUUUUUUUCCUAGGUAAAAUUUCCCUUUAAUAGAGGCUGGGUUAUGACAGAGCAAUUAUUUGAGUUAUGUGCACAUUACAGAAUAAUUUAACAUCAGCUUUUGGGUCAAUCUUUUUUAAUUAUCUAUUUUAUCAACUGGUUUUGACUAGCAGUUUAAAUAAUUGUGUUUGCCUAAUAUCUGGAAAUCUAAUUGCUUUUAGACAUCCUUUAUUCCAAUCCUGGUGUUGUUACCGUCUUGCAUACGGUGCAUGUUGGCACCUGUCUGUGCAGUGACAGAUUUGUGGUGACAGCUUAUAUAACUUAUUUAUAAAAUGAUGAAUUAUUUUUGAAUUUAACUUCAAGUUCACAGACUGGAAAAGUGGAGAAACACCUGCUUGCUGCAGAGGAUCUGCUAAGGAAGUCCAAAGGGAAACUAUGCACAGAGGGGAAAAGCACAGGCCAAGUGAAACAGAACCAUGUGGGUCAUCGUUAUGCUGUUCCAGGUAGGACUGUGGAUACCAAAGCAGGGAUGGGGUGACGGGGCGACCAAAGGAACAAAGGAACAGGCCCACAACCACAACAUCAUAGCAGGAAUUUUACUUACCUUCAGCCUCAAGAGGACAGAGAUUGAGGGGAAUGACAAAGAGAAACAAAAGAUAGGAACUUGUUCCGGGACAAAGGGAUGUUACUAUUUAUGAACCUGCAAGAGAAUUAGAGCUGAAAUACUUAGACAGAAAAAAAAAAAAAAAAAAAGAGAUUUUAAUUAAUGGUGAUAACUCUUAGAAAAAGAACCAGAUUGCCAGCCCUGAAAACUGCCAAUUCUUUUUAUCCACAAUGUAUACACAACCUUGGGGAGGCUGCUGCUAAGAGCCCCAGCACAGGACAUUGCCCUGAGCUUAGAGAAGUCCAACAUCUCAGUGGUCACACACUUUGGCUUUUGCUGCAGCUGCACUUUACAACAUGAGUAGCUGUGCACUACAUCAAUUCCAUGAUACAAUCAGAUCCAUUGACAUGGACAAUUUGUCCCUAAUGACUUGAGUCAGCCUACAAAGGUUACCAAGAAUCACAAAUCCUACUCAGAUAAACGUAGAGUAGCACAGGUCCCAUUCAAGGACCAAACCUAAGGAAGUCAUGGUAAAUGGAUUACCAAGCCCUUCUAAUACCUAGGGACAUUCUUAUUUAAAAAUAAACUAUAAAAAUAAAGAAAAAUGACUCCUCAUUCAGAUCAAGUCAUUUUGGUUAAAUUCCUAUUAUCCUGUUUAAACAGCAUCCUUUUAUCCCAGUUUUGAGGAGCAUCAUAUCUGUGGGGGCCACAAGGCACAGAAUUUGGCAAAGCAGCAACUGCAGAAUUUCUUCCUGAGUUAGAAGAGAGGGGGAGGGAUUGUUUUUUUUAGUUGUUAAUACAUUCUGGAGCAAUGAGGUGUUAGCAGAAGCCUUUCACCAUCUCCCUCGACAUCCUGUUCCCCACCCCUCUGCAGCUGGAUGGGAACUCACCUCCCAGCAGUUCUAGGCAGACAGACUGGGGUAACAAAUCCCCUGGUAGAAAGAAAUGCAAUCUGACUGAUCCCUGAAAAUGUAAUUUCUAGUUCACGGGGGCUAACAGAUGCAGGUAGCUCAAGCUAAAGCAGAAGGGUACCACCUCACCACAGCUUUCUUACGGGAUGGAAAAGCAGUGAUCUUUACUACUAGAGACUGAUAUUGCAUAGAUUAAGUCAAAUGUAUCAACUUCGCUUUAACAUGAGUGUUUCUAUUACCUGGGUCAGAGAGUCUGUGCAGUCACUCUCCAGAACCCGCUGUUAUUAAUUCAGCAAUUAUAGCUUUAUGGUGGCAGGGAUUCCUCGGUGUUUGAGCUGGCGCUGGAAAGCUGUAAUUCUGAAUGGAACAUGACAUGAAUUACUGGAUUGCUGUAAUUCUUCAGCUUUUCAUGCAUUUUCACUGCAUAUAUUAAAAUACAGCAAGCAAUUCACUUUUAAUUAUGUAAAUUCCAAGACAGUAAGACAAGAGAUGGAUGAGUUUUUAAAUGCCUGCUCUGCCUGACCACCUGUGGCUAGCACAGAAAGCCAUGGGCUCAGCAGGUCACCCUGCCCUCCGCACUCCUCCUCUCCCGGCUGUGCACAACACCGCCUCUUUUUAGUAUUCAGCGGUACUUCGAGAGCAAAGAGCACAGGAAAGAAAUGGCCAGAGGGGGGCUGGGAAAAGUCAGAUCCUGUCCACCUGCCUCCCUCACUUCUCUGGGUUUCCAAACAGACGAUACAUCACUGUUCUGACAUCAACAUAAGACCGCAAGGGCUGCAGAUAUUUACUGCUCUCUUAUUUGGCAAUUAUCUUCUCAAUGUUGAGAUGUUAUUAACAACUUCACCAGAAUAUAUGAGUCAGGAUCAUAAUUCUACAGCUCUAUGCCUGGCUUCUUUGCUGCUCCUUAGCAAAGCUCAUGGCUGCAACCAGCAGCACGUCCAUGCACAAGUCUGUGCAGUUAUUGUAAAGGAGAAAUAGGUUACACUGUUCUCAAAGACAUUGUUUUUAAACUGUAAGAUUCUGAGUGCAAGUAAUGAUGGCUUGUUAAAAGUCUAGUGACUGUAUCUAAUAGCUGCAGUGUUUGGCGCUGUAAUUACAGUAGCAAGAGAUUGCUGAGCACGUGUAAAAAAGGAAUAAUUGGGGUAGCAGCAACGCAAAAGCUUCUCUGGGCCUAAAGCAACUGUUAUUUUGCCCUCCUACUGAUGUGCCACUUAACGAAGCUACAAUGGUUGGAAACGAGCUCUCUUUGCAGUUAAGUUGGGUGUUUUCUGUUUAGGAGCCCUACGGUUUCACCCCCAGUACCUCCGCAGCUCAGGACGCAGAGGUAAAAUUACACAAACGCUUAUUGCCUUGCCCUGCGAGAAUACAUCUGCCUCUCCUCCCUAGACGCCAGGGAGAACUUUCAAGCAAGCAAAUUAGCAAUGCAAAUCUACAGCGACCUCUCCGAGGAGAGAGCACUGCUGUGCUCUGUUCUUCACGUUAGUAUUUCCAACCCUGGUGGACACUUUCCAUUUUCUCUAAUCUCUUCAUCCUCUUUUCCCCACCUAGGGACGUUUCUUUGCUCAUCUCAGUCUCGCUUCUCUAAAGGUGGUUUCUUGCAGCUUCAUCAGCAGCUAUUCUGUCUGCUGGAGUCUUCUGCUGCUUUCCUGUGUGCCUAUUGCAGAACUGCAAAAGAACACCAUCUUCCUGAAGUAGUAGAUGGAGUGCGUUUCCAUCCUGCUCUUGGCAUUGCUAUUACAAGCUUCACUUGGAUGUGGCAUGUGCCCCCAAACCCUGGAAUUCAGCCUCAUCCCCAAGCUUUUUGAACCUCUCUGCUCUGUUCUGGCAUACCUAUUGAUCACAUCUAUAUAUCUAGCCAGAAGCGAACCUUACCUUCACCCCUAAAGCUCCUGCAGAAACCUCACUUGUUUGUUAGUCAGCUGCUUUCCUGGGUCACUGCGGGUCUUUUCUAAAAAUCGUGUGCAAUUUUACCACUCGCUGAGCAAAGAACAGAACUACCUGCCUUCCUUCUUUACCUGCUUUGCUUUCACAGAGCAAUGCCUUUCUGGGCAGGGAUGCUACUGCAUCAGGCACUUACCAACAAGUAUCACCAUGUUCCCUACUUCUACUCCCAAGCCAUCGCAUGACUUCUCUCAGUCUCAGCGUGAGACAAGCCUGAUUUGAGCCAACAAAACAUCCGAACACAUGUUCCUCUAUGAAUUCAUCAGCAGAAAAGGCUGAGACCCCAGAACUAAACAACUGUGGUACUCUUCCCACUGCAGUAGGAAAAGUACCUCUUGCUCAUUGUGAGCAGUCGCUGGAAACUUUUCUACGUUCCAGUACACAACAGGAAAAGCAGACACUGUGUUUAUAACCAGAAGGAAAAGAAGAGCGCAAAAGGAGCUGCUGGCUGUGGGACUGAGGGAGUUCUUUCAAAGUAUAAAACGAAGCACAAGACUUGUGCAGAUCCUUCUGUAUCCUGCCGUUGUGUAGCAAUGGCAGUUGCAACUCUUAACAUUAAUUCUGCAAUACACAUCUACUGCUGGUUCCACCAACCAAAGACUGUGUAAAGAUCACCUUGCAAUGAGAAUCAGUUUAGCUCCAUUUAUUUCUUUAACGUCAGUGGAAUCACAGAGAUCACUUAUAACCUUGCAUGUUAAGUAAAGCAAUUAAUUGCACUACUGCACCAGGUUUAGACAUGAAAGGCAGACUUAAUAACAGGUUUAAAGAAAAGGCUUAGAGUAGGGGUUCAGAAUGCAGAAUAAGGGUUAGUGACAGCUAAUACCAGCCUGUAUAUAGAGAGCAAGGUUAAUAGUUGGCUUAAAGAUUGCUCAGAUCAAUAAAAGAACAGCACAAUGUACAUAAUAAUAUUUGUUUCCAUCAGUGUUUUGAUGGAAACAAGUGGCAGAAGCACCAAGACUGCCCCUUCAUUUAAAGCAUGGUUUACAUGUGCAUGCUGGCUGCCAGACUGGAAACAUCCACUUCUGGCCUCGUCUCGGGGGGCUUCCCAUGCAGCUGGUAGAGAGCAUGGGAUGCAUUUCACAUCAGACUACAAAGGCAUCUGUGGAGCCUGGCUGUGACAAGGUAUCCUCCAACCAGACAUCAGUGCGGGGUGGGAAUGGCCCCGUACUGCCAAGACACGGAGGGUCUGGAGCCUGGGGUGGACUGAAGAAAUGGGGUCUGGGUUAACAGCAUGGCUGGAGUAACUGGUGAGUACAAUAGGGCACAUAACACUUUUUGCAGAGGUCUGAAGGUGAACUGACAUACAGCUCUCAUUUUCAAGGAACAUGGGAGGCCUAUUUUGCUUAUUGCUGAAAGAAAUGUAAGAAUGUUUGAAUUUGAGGCGCCUCAAUACCUUUUUAAUACCUUUGUUCUUAGCGUUCUUAACACCUGCUUAGAGCGAGCAGAAGUGGAGGUUGGCAGGGAAAAAUUAGCAAUUGCCCACCCAUCAUUCAUUUCCCAGGCUGUUCCCAGGGCACAGCAAUUAUGCACUUCACCUCACUCAGGACAGGCUGUAAAAUCUCGGUAUUGUCCUUAAGUGCUAAAUCAAAGCAAGCAAAAAACGGUAAGUAAAUGUUUCCCACGCAACUGCUGCCCUUUGUAAGAAAACUAUUGAACUGAAAAUGAAAGGCAUCCAUAGGUACAUAACCAACGUUUCUAAUUUUACUUGCAGUGAUCCAAGGCGCUGUUUAAACAGCGAUGCUAUUACAGAUUUACUUAGCUGGUUUCUUUCUGAGUGCACCAGAACCCUGAUCCUUGCAACAAAGAAUGCCAAACAAAGCAGCAUUAGGCAAGUUACUGUGAAACGAAGGCAUAUUUGCACAGCAAUAGAAAGAUCUAAAUGGGACCAUAACGAGCAACCAAAUAGUAACGCAGUUGAGGGCAUUGCUUUGUAGGAAACAAGUGGCUAUUCUGAACCCUGAAGUGCCAAAUGUACUGAAUCACAAGAGCUCACUAAAAUGAGAGCAAACAUCUCAAUCCCUUCUGAGUAUGUACAAAUAUCAAAGCGAUUUGGGGCUGUUAACCUCCUCAGCUCGGUGACGGUAUCUUCACCAUCAGCGCACAGCACUUCCCUGUUCACAAACUGUCCGUAUAAUGGUUCGGUUUGACUGCAGCGCAAUGCAUGACUGAGGGGACGUUAAUAUCGAACAACUCUGAGUAGCUCAUCACCAAGGAUGAUUUAAAUAAAACAGAAAGUAAAGAAAGCAACACUACCCUUUGUAUCUGACAAUGUAGAGGGCGAAGUCGUGCCCAAAAUAUUUGGAUUUUUGUUUUCACAUGGAUUCCAUUGCUCCCACCUUCCUAAAGAGCCGAACAGUUUUAAGUGUACCUCCUUUGUUUCUGCUGCUCUGUCCUCUCUAGUUCCAAAGCUACAGCUGAAGUGCAUCCAUUCCCCCUCCCCUGCUCUGGCAUCCCAGCAGGACGGCAGCCAGGUCUCCUCCUGUAUGCCUCACCGUGUCAGCUCAAUUCCUCCCCCUAGAAACUGCCUUCCAGUUUUCUGAAUGUUUGGGGACACAGAUAAAUUGUAAAGUGGUCAUGGAAAUAUAAGAAGCAAAGAUAUCUUUCUUUCCAGAUUAGAUAAUUAUCCACUGAGAGAGGAAAUAGCAACAACAAAACGGCUUCAAAUUCUUCUGAACAUAAUUGAGUCUUUUAAGAAAUACCCCAACACCUAAACAGCCAUUCCUUUACUUGGAGGAGGGGAAAAUGCCAUAAAGCUUAAGGAGCAUUUUGUUCGGGAAAUCACAUCUUUCCCUAUUUUGCAGCUGACACAUUGCAUUGCAGAUCUGUCACAGCACAUUACCUCGGUGAUGUAACGUAACGCAACACUGCUGAUGCGACCCAAUCCGAUGUGUCCAACGUGAUACAUCAGCUACAAUAUCUGAAAAGCUUUUUUUCUGAAAACAACCUGUAUAGAAGGGACUCCUCUUUACCAAUUAAAAAAAAAAAGCCUUCCCAAAGAAUUGCAUCACCGGGAGAUAAUUGCUUUUUCACAGGUAAUUAGCAAAUACAAUUAGUUGUGGGAAAAGUUUGCUUUUCAGCAAUUCACACCAAAAAAAAAAAAAUGGUGAACAAAAGAUGACUGUGGCUGACAAAUAACCGCUUCCCAUGGCACCAGCUGAACCCACCCGAGUAGCAGCGGUUACAGGCUCAGAUCACACCACCACCGGACUCACUUUCUGUUCCCCACCAACACUCAGAGGAUAACCAGAAGUUCACCUUGUGAACUCUUCACAAACUGUCUGGCAGCUGAUUUUGCUCACCUGUGCAGUCGAUGUUAAUCACAGAAUCAAACAAAGAUACACCUCUCAGCACACGCCAUGGGAAGCUCUGCAGAUGCUUUGAGGACUACCUGCAGUCCUGCAGAGAAUUGCUGGAUUUUCACAGACAGGAGGACACGGUCCAUGUCACCAUGAUCAGAUGAAUACUAAGGAUCAAUGGCCUUAAAUAUUCUACUGGAGUGGCAGUGGUAUUUGUCAGCAGAGGAGACUUCAGCUCAAGCAAAUGACACCUUACCGCAUUGAUGGCAGCCAUCCAGAAAGCAACAACCACCCCUCCUCCCUCUAUCACUUGUUGGAGGGCAAAUGAAAGCUAACCUCACAGAACAGCCUGGGUUGGUGGAGGGCAUCCCAAAGAGCACCCAGUUCCAACCCCUGCCAUGGGCACGGCCUGCCAACCACUCCAUCCAUCACUCAGUCCCCUCAAACUGCCAGUGGCUGCUAUGGAGGGCUUCAGAGGCAGAAGCAGCCAUCCCCCCACGGCGCUCCCUUUCCCUUCCCCACCCAGCGCUCCAUGUGCAGGCUGCCAGCAGCAGGACUGGGGCGCAGACAGGGCGCCAGGCCCUUCCACUCACUGCUUAGACUGAUUUUUCAAGUGUAAAAUGUAAUUCAAAUCUCCAUAAAAAGCUAUUUGCUCCCUAGCCUCGCAAUUCUUACACCACGUUUCAACCGUGAAAUCCAAUUGGAAAAAAAAAAGAAGCCUUAUGUUCAAGGUCUGAAAAUCCUGCAAGAGCCUUUAGCUCUCAGACUGAAUUGUAUCUUAAACGCCAUCUGACCAGUUCUGUCUCUUUCCUCUGAUGGGAUGGCGUGGUGCCUGGUCUCUAAAUGCCUGAUCCUGAUUGCUGGGCACCCCCCAGACCUAAAUUCAGGUACUCGUGGGCUAUGUGUCCCUCCACAAAGCUGUUCUAACAACAGAAUCCAAGCUGAGCUUUCUCAAGUUUGAAAAUAUGGCCCAAAAUGCAACUGUGCAAAUUAAUCUCUGAAAUUCAGAGCCCAUGCUGCCCAGCUGUGAACGCCGCAGUAUCACAGCCCCCUCUGUACCAUACACACACAUAUUUCCAGCCCUUCCAGAUGCACUGCUGCUCUCCAUGCUGAGGCAAUUCAGCAGAGAGCACAAAUCCUGAUGCAUCUAUUGCAUGCCCUGGACUAUUCCCCCCCCCCCCCCCCCCCCCCCUCACUGAUGUAUAUCUGGAUACUCCAGACCUCUUGAAUAUAAAAACUCAUCACAGCACUCUGGAACACAGGUUGAUACCUCAGCUGAUACACACCAGUCAGACAAUUCAGGAGCUUUCACCAGUUCAAACAUUUUCUGAAUCAGGAACUUUCAGUGGGGUCCAAGUACGGUAACAGCACAGGGUUGCCAGCAGCCCAAGUUCUAACCCAGAAAUAGAUAAAGCUUUGAAUUGACACAACUUCUAAUCCCUUAGUUAACAUGAGUUAUAGGAAUCAACACUGAAUUAUAGGAAACAACACAAUGAUUUCUAUUUGCACACACGUUCUGCUCCAAUGCCAUAAAUCAUAACCACAACCUCCACUGGGCUUUCUACAGGCACAGAAAUAGGCAAAAAUCAUUCAUCUUUCAUUAAACACAAGAGAAGUUUCUGGCUUUUAUGAUGAUAACACAAAGCCUGCAAAUACAAUCUGUAUGUAUUCUACAGGCUCAGAAUGAGCCUCGUUAUCAGUGUAUCAUUAGCUACAGAUUGUCCCCUUGUCAAUAGGAUGUGAGAUGUUUCUGAAGAGCCCCGAAGUGAUGUGUGCCACACAUGUGAAUUGCUCCAUACACCCAACCCAGCACAACGUGCCACCUGACCGCGUUAAGCUCGCAGAAGAUAGAAAUCAGAAGAGCUUUUUCCAAACCAAACCUCCCUCUGGGUUCUCUCCUGACCUCUGGGUGUGAAGGCAUACGGCUCUCAAAAGGCAUUCUGGAACUUCCAGCCAUCCCUUAUAUCACACAUCUUUUGCUUUCUGCUGUUAUGACACCCAGCCCAUGGGACCCUGUGCUUCUGGGUGAAAUCGGCCACCCCAUUGGAAAGCCAUCAUGCAGUGGCAAUUAUUUCUCUGUGAGCACUAUUCACCCAAUAUCCUGCUUUCUGUUGGAAGAAAUGUUGGCCCGGGUGCCUGACUUCUAACGAAGAACACUUCAUUAUAUCUCAGGGACUGGGAAACCUCAUCUGUAUCUAUUUAUGUAGCACACCUAUGGCUGUGGGAAGAAAAUACCUUUUUUCAAGUCAUGGGUUUUGUUCCAUGACAUGGCAGUUAUCUGCGGCAACAUCAGGUAACAGCACCACCUUCUGCCAACACGUUACCAUCUCUGUAGAAAACCAAUAGAUGCAUUUUCUCUCUGCGAUUUCAGUGGCUUUCUCAAACACUUCUGAUGCAGACAACAAAGUUCAGAGCAAAGCCCUAAGGGCUGUUUUGAAACACCCCAAGCUGUCUUACAGUAAUGAAAUUACUGUCAUGUAACCAACUUCAGAGGUGCAAUGAAUGCCCUGAGCUGGGCAACGCAACAGGGUGAGGCCGGCACUAUGAAACAGCCCUGGGAGGACAGCUGGGCACAUCUGUCUGAGUCUCUACAGGAAACUCACUCCCCAUCUCCGCAGUGUUUUACAUUGGUCCCCAGAGGUGCACAGAAGGGUACGGUACGUCCUACAGCUUUAGAUGAUUUAAGAUGCCUGAAAAUAAUCAUCUUUCUUUUUCUAUAGGUUCUCUUUGUCCUUAGCAGACAAUCUGGGACUGCCUUGCCUUCAGAUGUCCAAAUUUUAGGCAGUUGACUUUCAGAGAGAUGAACAUUACACAAUACACGUAUUUGCUUUUGAGAGCAAAACUGUGUUUUUACCUCAACAAACGCCCUAUUUUCCUGCCAAAUUCUUCCCUCUGUGUGGGACCAACGUGCACAUGGAGCCAAGGAACGCAGGAGAAAUGGUGUCAGCGGACACAGAGGUGAAGAAUAAGGUGCCAAUCAAUAAACCAGUAAUUAGCUCUGUUUGGCAGGUUGGGGGUGUUUGGGUUUUGGUAUUUUGCUGUUGCGUUUUUUUUUUUCCUGCUGGUUUUGAAAGAAGUUUGCUUAUCUAAGUUUUAUAACCACUUAAAUGAAUCCCAGCUCUGUUCAAAUCAAUGAAAGCUUUUGCGAGACAGCUGUAAUUUUAUGUGCAUGUGUUUCAGUAAAUUAGAGGGUUUAGCCUUAAGGAUUCACUUUAGUGUAAUCUACUAAAAAGAUAAGUAGAGCCAGAUGCAGUGUCUUACAACCGCUGGACAGUCGCAACUGGAGCGACAGCACUGACAGCAACUUUAUGGCUUUCCUCAUAGGGAGCAGAUUUCCUGACUCAAAAAGAGCAGUAUUUUACAUAAAUAGUUGUCAAUAUUUUGUAUUUACGAUGCAAAGAAAGAAGGGUGCAAAUAGUGAAAAAAUGAAAUAAAAUUAGCCCAAACAACUGA